rnacentral:rRNA from 1 species
UACGUAGGGUGCAAGCGUUGUCCGGAAUUAUUGGGCGUAAAGAGCGUGUAGGCGGCCCGAUUAGUCCGCUGUGAAAGUCCAGGGCUCAACCCUGGAAUGCCGGUGGAAACUGUCGAGCUAGAGUCCGGAAGAGGCGAGUGGAAUUCCUGGUGUAGCGGUGAAAUGCGCAGAUAUCAGGAGGAACACCAAUGGCGAAGGCAGCUCGCUGGGACGGUACUGACGCUGAGACGCGAAAGCGUGGGGAGCAAACAGG